rnacentral:rRNA from 1 species
UACGUAGGGAGCGAGCGUUAUCCGGAAUUACUGGGCGUAAAGAGCUCGUAGGCGGCCAGAUAAGUCGCAUGUUAAAGACCCAGGCUCAACCUGGGGAGUGCGCGCGAUACUGUCUGACUAGAGGACGGGAGAGGUAAGCGGAAUUCCUGGUGUAGCGGUGAAAUGCAUAGAUAUCAGGAAGAACACCAGUGGCGAAGGCGGCUUACUAGACCGUUCCUGACGCUGAGGAGCGAAAGCCAGGGGAGCAAACGGG